rnacentral:rRNA from 1 species
UACGUAGGGUGCGAGCGUUAAUCGGAAUUACUGGGCGUAAAGCGUGCGCAGGCGGCUUGUUAAGCCAGAUGUGAAAGCCCCGGGCUCAACCUGGGAACUGCGUUUGGUACUGGCAAGCUAGAGUACGGCAGAGGGGGGUGGAAUUCCACGUGUAGCAGUGAAAUGCGUAGAGAUGUGGAGGAACACCGAUGGCGAAGGCAGCCCCCUGGGCCGAUACUGACGCUCAGGCACGAAAGCGUGGGGAGCAAACAGG